CUCGAGUGCUGGGGGCAGUUUUGGGUGCCACAGUAUAAGAAGGCUUUAAAACUAUUAGAGGGUGUCCAAAGAGGGGGUCAUAAAGAUAGUGAAGGGCCUUGAAGGGAAGUCAUAUGAUGAGUGGCUGAAGUCUUUUUGUCUGUUCAGACUGGAGGAGACAGGGGAAACCUCACUGCAGUUAUAACUUCUUCGUGAGGGGAAGAGGAGGGACAGCUCAUUAAUUGACAGUGAUAAGACGAUCCAAAGGUGAUCCUUGCUGGUGUCAACGGUGAUAAUAGAAACUUUAUGUAAGCUUGAAUAUGCACGUUCUGCCGGAAUGUCUGUCCUGCACCUGUAGCUGAUAACAGAUGGACCAUGGGAAGACUUGUACAGCAUUGAAGCACCAGUCUUUUCUGUUUUAAGACAGAAACAGGCAUGUAAUACACUGAAGCUAAAUUCUCCGGAUUGCAAUGCUUUAAUCCUCUGAGGCUGUAAACAUCACUGCCAUUAUGUUUUCAUGGGUGUUAUUAUCCAUAAUCCAUGGUAUUUAUUAAUCAAUCAUGUUGUAUUCAUUGUUUUGAUGAGAACAGACAUGGAAGAAGGUCUCUCCUUGUCUCAUACAUUUCUUGAACUUAUCACAAGUUUUCAUAAGCCAGAUGGUAAAUGCAGAUGGUAUUGUUCAUUAUGUAUAGCAACAGAGGCUGUAAUCUUCUGGCAACCGCAGUUCACAAUGAGACAAAGUCUAAGAAAAUCCUGGAGU